AGCGAUCGUUGGCGGCAGGCCUAACACAUGCAAGUCGAGCGAGGCGAAAAGCCGAGCGGCGAACGGGUGCGUAAUACAUGGGAAUCUACCUCGGAGUGGGGAUAACAUUCAGAAAUGAGUGGUAAUACCGCAUAAUCCAUAUUGGGAAAGUUUUAACGCUCUGAGAGGAGCCCAUGGCUGAUUAGCUAGUUGGUGGGGUAAAAGCCUACCAAGGCGACGAUCAGUAGCUGGUUUGGGAGGAUGAUCAGCCACACUGGGACUGAGACACGGCCCAGACUCCUACGGGAGGCAGCAGUGGGGAAUAUUGGACAAUGGGGGCAACCCUGAUCCAGCCAUGCCGCGUGCGUGAUGAAGGCCUUCGGGUUGUAAAACGCUUUUGGCGGGGACGAUAAUGACGGUACCCGCAGAAUAAGUCACGGCUAACUUCGUGCCAGCCGCCGCGGUAA
rnacentral:rRNA from 1 species